AAGGAGAUCCAUCACCGCCUCCACUUCUGGUUCCAACUCAAUCUUCGAACUCCUCCUAUCUGAGGACAAUGAAACACAAGAUGAAGAGCUUGGUGCCAUAGCUCAAAGCACAUGUUGGAUUAGCCAAAAGUAAGCUCGAAUCUCGAAAAUCAAAUCCGCAAGCAAAAAUGCCCUUUACAUUAUCACCCCAUGGAUCACAAAGCCGAUUAAGGUGGUAUGAUCGCUAACCAAGCUUUGAUAUUGUAACAUCCAUAAAAUACUAACUCAAAUCAUCCACUAAAAUUCGUUUUCAAAAUCCUUUCCUUCCCGGCGACUUCGCCGUCCCGGCACCCAAUGCCGACAACCAUCUUUUUCUUCCUUCGCAAAUUUCACCGCGUGCCCGUCAAAAAGCCGUCACACGUGCCCGACUCUCCCUCUCUUUUCUCUUUUCUUUUUCCCCUUCUCCUUUUUCCCUUUUCUUUUUCUUCCUUCUCUUUCUUCCUUUCUUCCUUCUUCCUUCUUUCUUCUUCUUUCUUCCUCCUUCUCCUUUCUUCCUGGCGCACACCAGCUCUUGGCUCCCGGCGCACCCCAGCUCCUCCCCUGGCCAGACCCAAGAACCACUCCCCACACCGACCCCCCUCUCCUUGGCCCACCCGCGCCCUCUCCCGCACGCUAGCUAUAACAACCUAGGUGCUUAAAUGGUGUUUUAAUCGUAAGAGCAAGUCCUUUGUGCUUAACGAAGAGUUUUGGCAACAUUUAGGCAAAGUCUAAGCUUUGGGGCUCUCUAUUUAGAGGUCUCCAAUGUCAUCUUGAGCUGAGCCCUAUACCAAAGUUUCUGAGCUUCGGGACCUUAACAAUUUUGCUUUAAGGAGCAAGUUUCAAAUCUAGGUCAAAGUUCCCUAGUUUGGUCAACUCAGCCUCUUUAGCCAUUCCGGCUAUGUCUGGAAUUCAGCUCGACCUGGCGCCUUAAGGCGGGUUUAUCUUUGGAAAGUUGAGCAGAACAUCCAGAAACCCCUUUUUAGAAGUUGGAGAACUAAGUUCCUACAACAACCUUGCUAAUUGGACCUUGGUCCAAUUCACCUUCGAAGCUUCCCAAAUCUGCAGCUCAAAUCAACCCAGAACCGUGAACACCAGUCAAAACCGUCUCUUUUCUCUAAGUCCUAAAACCGGUGUUCCUCCAAACUUUGGAUCUUUGAAUCUCCAAAUCCACCGCGUUUUUGAACUCGGUCAAGUUACAAGAGUUGGACCUUGCUCUGUGUACUACAACUCUUGUAAAGGGAGUCAACGUGGUGCAGUUUGAAAAUCGGGAGAUCAAGAGGCUGGAAGAUGGGCCCGACAAAGGAUCUUGCGGAUCCGUUGGCCAGACAGCGCCAGAGCGCGCGUGCGCCACGCUCAGAGCGCCACUGCCGC
rnacentral:lncRNA from 1 species